rnacentral:rRNA from 1 species
CUGCCUUUCAGAGGGGGAUAACGUUUGGAAACGAACGCUAAUACCGCAUGAUACUAUUGAGCUGCAUGGCUUGAUAAUCAAAGGAGCAAUCCGCUGAAAGAUGGGCUCGCGUCCGAUUAGGUAGUUGGCGGGGCAACGGCCCACCAAGCCGACGAUCGGUAGCCGGACUGAGAGGUUGAACGGCCACAUUGGGACUGAGACACGGCCCAGACUCCUACGGGAGGCAGCAGUGAGGGAUAUUGGUCAAUGGGGGAAACCCUGAACCAGCAACGCCGCGUGAGGGAAGACGGUUUUCGGAUUGUAAACCUCUGUCCUCUGUGAAGAUAAUGACGGUAGCAGAGGAGGAAGCUCCGGCUAACUACGUGCCAGCAGCCGCGGUAAUACGUAGGGAGCAAGCGUUGUCCGGAUUUACUGGGUGUAAAGGGUGCGUAGGCGGCUUUGCAAGUCAGAAGUGAAAUCCAUGGGCUUAACCCAUGAACUGCUUUUGAAACUGCAGAGCUUGAGUGGAGUAGAGGUAGGCGGAAUUCCCGGUGUAGCGGUGAAAUGCGUAGAGAUCGGGAGGAACACCAGUGGCGAAGGCGGCCUGCUGGGCUCUAACUGACGCUGAGGCACGAAAGCGUGGGUAGCAAACAGGAUUAGAUACCCUGGUAGUCCACGCUGUAAAC